AGAGUUUGAUCAUGGCUCAGAGUGAACGUUGGCGGCGUGGAUUAGGCAUGCGAGUCGAGCGAUCGUAGCAAUACGGGAGCGGCAAACGGGGUAGGAAUACAUCGGAACGUACCUUUUGGUUGAGAAUAGCGUCGGGAAACUGACGGUAAUACUCAAUAAAGUCGAGAGACCAAAGGUUUACUGCCGGAAGAGCGGCCGAUGCGAUAUUAGGUAGUUGGUGGGGUAAUGGCCUACCAAGCCUGAGAUGUCUAGGGGGUGUGAGAGCAUGGCCCCCACCACUGGGACUGAGAAACUGCCCAGACACCUACGGGUGGCUGCAGUCGAGGAUCUUCGUCAAUGGGCGAAAGCCUGAACGAGCGACGCCGCGUGCGGGAUGAAGGCCCUUGGGUUGUAAACCGCUGUCAGGGGGGAUGAAACCGUAAGGUGACAGAGCCCCAGAGAAGCUCGCUUGG
rnacentral:rRNA from 1 species